rnacentral:rRNA from 1 species
UACGAAGGGGGCUAGCGUUGCUCGGAAUCACUGGGCGUAAAGGGUGCGUAGGCGGGUCUUUAAGUCAGGGGUGAAAUCCUGGAGCUCAACUCCAGAACUGCCUUUGAUACUGAAGAUCUUGAGUUCGGGAGAGGUGAGUGGAACUGCGAGUGUAGAGGUGAAAUUCGUAGAUAUUCGCAAGAACACCAGUGGCGAAGGCGGCUUCCUGGACACCAACUGACGCUGAGACGCGAAAGCGUGGGGAGGCAAACAGG